GCACGGAGCAGCAGCCGAAAUUGAGGAGGGCUCCCUGUGUGCACAGCAGCUCUGCUCCUCACUCCUCUCUUUUGCCACGCAGGGAUCCAGCAGUGCUUCUCCGCUCACCGGAGCACUGCCGCCUCUGCCCAUAGGGCUCUGCUGUGGUGCUGCUCUGGGCAAUGGUUCCUUCCAGCAAAGGAGAGCAGAGGAAAGGCAGGGCUUUGUCGUGGGCAUCCCUGGGGCACCGUAAGCCAAAAAUUGAGCCCCACAUUGCAAUGGUGAGACCCACACUGGGAUGGUGAGACCACACUGUGAUGGUGAGCCCUGCACUGCAAUGGUGAGCCACACACUGUGAUGGUGAGACCCACACUGUGAUAUUGAGCCCUGCACUGUGAUGGUGAGCCCCACAUGAUGAUAUUGAGCCCCACACUGCAAUGGUGAGCCCCACACUGUGAUGGUGAGCUCUGCACUGUGAUGGUGAGCUCCAUAUUGCAAUGGUGAGCCCCACACUGUGAUGGUGAGCCCCACACUGUAAUGGUGACCCCCACACUGUAAUAGUGAGCCUUGCACUGUAAUGGUGAACCCCAUACUGCAAUGGUGAGCCCCACACUGUGAUGGUGAGCCCAACACUGUAAUAGUGAGCCUUGCACUGUAAUGGUGAGCCCCAUACUGCAAUGGUGAGCCCCAUAUUGUUAUGGUGAGCCCCACACUGUGAUGGUGAGACCCACACUGUGAUAUUGAGCUCUGCACUGUGAUGGUGAGCCCUAUAUUGCAAUGGUGAGCCCUGCAGUGUGAUGGUGAGCCCUGCACUGCAAUGGAGAGCCCCAUAUUGCAAUCGUGAGCCCCACACUGUGAUGGUGAGCCUUGCACUGUGAUAUUGAGCCCUGCACUGUGAUGGUGAGCCCUGCACUGCAAUGGUGAGCCCCAUAUUGUGAUGGUGAGCCCCACACUGUGAUGGUGAGCCUUGCACUGUAAUGGUGAGCCCCAUACUGCAACGGUGACCCCCACAUUGUGAUAUUGAGCCCUGCACUGUGAUGGUGAGCCCUGCACUGCAAUGGUGAGCCCCAUAUUGUGAUGGUGAACCCCACACUGUGAUGGUGAGCCCCAUAUUGCAAUGGUGAUCCGCAUACUGUAAUAGUGAACCUUGCACUGCAAUGGUGAUCUCCAUAUUGCAAUGGUGAGCCCCACACUGUGAUGGUGAGCCCCACAUUGUGAUAUUGAGCCCUGCACUGUGAUGGUGAGCCCCACAUUGUGAUAUUGAGCCCUGCACUGUGAUGGUGAGCCCCAUACUGCAAUGGUG
rnacentral:lncRNA from 1 species